rnacentral:misc_RNA from 1 species
UUGCGAUCUUCUUCGGACGCCACCAAUCCUCGCCUCCAGACCGCUGGACAGAACAGAAUCAACUCGCAUCGCGUUGUGUUCAAAAUCCCGCCAAGUCUCCAAGACUCCAACCUCGCACGCAACGAAAUCAGAAACCCGUCGAAAAAUUACAAUAGUGAUCGUUUCAAUAGUGAUCGUUUCCUUGCAGAGUUGCAGUUUCGAUUAAGGAAAUGAGAAUUCUGAAUCCGAUCACAACACUGAUAAAAACGAAGGCGAUGGGUUUCGAUUAACGAAUUUCUCUUAAAUAUUGGAUUCUUGGGGUUUAUUAGGGUUUUGAUUUUGUCCAUUCCAGAAGAAGAAAGAGAUGAAUUUGGGGGAUUUACAUAAAGUAUGGGAAAUCGAAGCCCUAAAGAAACCAGGAGAAGAAGAAGCUAAGAAGAUGCUCGAGAAACUAGCCAAACAGGUUCAACCCAUUAUGCGUAAGCACAAAUGGAGUGUCAAGCUCCUCUCCGAAUUUUGGUACUUGAAUUUUCCUCUUCUUUGUAUUGUUUUUUUUAAUUUUGUUUUGGAUAUUGUAAGCGUAAAGCUUGGUACUUUUUACUACCCAAAUUAACUAAACAAUCAUCUCAUAUGUAUACCGUUUAAGCUAAUUUUUGUUUUGUUUUACUCUUUUUGUUGUUUCCACUGCAAAUUUCUUGAUGAAAAUAUUUAUGGAAAUGGAACUGAAGUCCAAACAACCCAGCACUUCUGGGAUUGAAUGUAGGAGGUGGAGUGCAUGUAAAACUGAGGCUUCGAAGGCCAAACAGAGACUGGGAUUUCUUUCCAUUUGAUCAGGUUCUGGAUACGAUCCUUCAUGAACUAUGCCAUAAUGUUCAUGGUCCUCACAACGCCAAUUUCUACAAGCUUUGGGAUGAGUUGAGAAAGGAAUGUGAGGAGUUGCUUUCCAAGGGAAUAACCGGCACGGGGGAGGGGUUUGAUCUGCCAGGGAGGCGUUUGGGUGGGUUUUCCCGCCAUCCUCCUCCUUCAUCUCUUCGUAAAGCUGCCUUAGAUGCUGCAGAAAAGAGAGCAAAAUUGGGAUCUAUGCUACCAUCUGGACCUAAACGGCUUGGUGGUGAUACCACCAUUAUGGUUGCACUCAGUCCAAUACAAGCUGCAGCAAUGGCUGCAGAAAGGAGAUUACAGGAUGAGAUUUGGUGUGGUUCUCAGUCUGCUGAGGUUUUUGAGGAAGGAGAAAGUAGCAAUGAUGUCACAAAAGACCUUUUAGAUGUGGGCCAAAGUACAGGAUGCUCUAGGCCAGAUAAUGGUAAAAAAUGAAAUCGUCAAUCAAAUAACAGUACAACUUUCUAUCUUUUAAUUGUCAUUUAGGGUCCAAUAUUGUGUAUUUGUCUACAGAUGUUUCAACUUCUUGUUCAAUUCUUGACCAUGACUCCAUCACUAAAAAGAGAUUUUCUAACUCAUAUGAAAAUUCACCUUCUGAUUCUAGUUUUGUGGAUUUAACAGUUGGUUCAUCUUUAGGGUCCAAACUUAAUCAUGACAAGGUACAUAAUGCAGAGGAACAUGCCAUGUGGGAGUGUGGAGUAUGCACAUUAUUGAAUCCAGUAAGUGAUUGGUUCAAAUUAAUUUUAUUUACUUAAUUUAUGGAUAAAACAUCAUUUGUUGGGCAUACGCAGAGGCUAUAUUUUCAUUUGAAUGUAAGAUGAGCACAUUUUGGAGUUGCCUAACGUAACUGUAGAUCUGGUUUUUAACUUUUUAUAGCUACACAUUUUGGCUGCUUAUCCUUGUUUCUUGUGGGUAUGUGAGAAGUUUUAUUUGUUCAUUUUUUGAAGAUGCUUACACUUGACAGUUGACAGUGUUAUGCUUGAAACUGAAUUUUCACCCUUUUUUUCCCUUCUGAAUAGAUUACUUAUUACAAGAACAUAUUUGCAUGUGAAUAAUGCUGGGUUCAUGCAGUCAUUAGGCCCAAUCUGCAAGCUUUGCAGUACAGAAAGGCCCAAAGAUGUGAGCACCAAGUAUAAAACGUGGUCCUGCAAAUUCUGUACCUUGAAUAAUAGUGUGAAGUUGGACAAAUGCUCGGCUUGCAGUCAAUGGAGAUAUUCAUAUGGCCCUCCAGUGUCAACGCGCACACCCAAUCUUGGGACUUGACAGGUGCGAUCCAGAAGGUUUGCAAAAUGUGAAUUUCCCAAAAUGGACAUGGUAUAUGUUGUGUUCUCUCUCCCAUCUUUCUUAAUUACUCAAAUGGUGGUUUAAUAUUAUAACUUUCUCCCUUACUGUUGGUGUUAAUGAAUUGUUUAAAUGUAGUCUUGUUUGGCUGGGAAAAUAGUCUAGAUUUCCCAAAAUUAGUUGCUUUCUGUAAUACUGGCAGGAGUAAAGAGAAGGAUGCCAAUUGUGUUGCCUUGGUGUGCCAAAAGAUGAUGCUAGUUUAGAUUUGGGAGUGAUGGUUAUUUAGCCGCCUUUUUCAUAAGACCUUCAGAUGAUCCGAGAAUCAGUCCAUUUUUUAUAUAAUCCCAAAAAAUGAUUCGGAAGAUCCACUAGUUAAUUUUCAAUGUUAAGGACGACUUUUUAUUUUUUCACUCCGAUUGGGAAAAGAAAGACUGUUCCCUAACCAUAUUUGCACCCAAAAAAAAUUAUAACGUGAAUUUUGAACAACUAACACUUUCGAAAACACAAAUGCUAGAGUCGUCUGUGACGUCUUGAAUUAAAGUUGGAAGUCAAACGAACAAAAAUAGAAGCAGUUGACAAAAAAAUUCAACAAAAAAAGUUAACCAAUAGUGCAUUAAGAAA